rnacentral:misc_RNA from 1 species
AAUGCAACGAGUCCUGCCUUUUUUUUUUUGAUUAACUUCGUCGACCAUUAUGUACCAUCCGGCUAAUAACCCAGUGGUCUAGAGCUUACUAUCAAGUAUCAAGAUGCAACACAAACAUCUAUCUCUGUUAGCUAACUGAGCUCUGGAGCUUUGAACUUCGGAAAAAACACAGAAAAAAAAAAAAAGGCAGGACUCGUUGCAUUCACAUGGGCACACGACGACCAACUAAACCUGUAGCGCUCAACACUUAAAUGCUCUCCUGAUGAUAAAAUCUCUAACGCAAAGCGGGAGAUGGUACAUGAUCGACAUAAUGGUGGAGUAGUGACCUGAUGAGAACCAUGCAGGUGGAUUUUUCUUCAGUAUGGCAGAUACGGUUUUCUUUGCAAACUCGUCUGUAGGGGUGGACUU